rnacentral:rRNA from 1 species
AUGGUCAAAUGGUCUGAGAUCUGCAAACCUAAGGACCAGGGAGGUUUGGGAGUCAUCUCUUCCAAGCGUAUGAACAUUGCCCUCCUGUCCAAAUGGCUGUGGCGGAUCCAGACGGAGGAGGGGGGCCUGUGGCUGCAGAUUAUCCGUAGGAAGUACCUUCGUGGGCAACCACUCGCUUUUGCCUCUAGGUCUGGAGGUUCCCAAUUCUGGCAAUCGGUGAUCUCUCUACUCCCGGUCCUACGCAUUGGGACCUCCAUCCAGAUAGGCUCUGGGUCUGCCACCCUCUUUUGGCUAGACCGAUGGGCGGGACCCCGUCCCCUUGCGGAGCGUUUUUUCGCAUUAUUUUCUAUCUGUGCUCGCCCACAGAUCUCUGUGGCCGAGGCAUUAGAGAACCUAGGCGCGAUUGCCUUUCGUCGCACCUUCGGGGCGGCCGAACUUGUGCAAUUGGAUGAGUUACUGGAAUGCAUUGCCCUUCACCCUCCCUCUCUGGAACCGGAUUCGCUCUCCUAG